rnacentral:rRNA from 1 species
AUUGAACGCUGGCGGCAUGCCUUACACAUGCAAGUCGAACGGAUCCAGGGGCUUGCUCCUGGGUUAGUGGCGAACGGGUGAGUAAAGCAUCGGAACGUACCCAGUUGUGGGGGAUAACGUAGCGAAAGUUACGCUAAUACCGCAUACGCACUGAGGUGGAAAGCGGGGGACCGAAAGGCCUCGCGCAAUUGGAGCGGCCGAUGUCGGAUUAGCUAGUUGGUGAGGUAAAAGCUCACCAAGGCGACGAUCCGUAGCUGGUCUGAGAGGAUGAUCAGCCACACUGGGACUGAGAAACGGCCCAGACUCCUACGGGAGGCAGCAGUGGGGAAUUUUGGACAAUGGGCGAAAGCCUGAUCCAGCCAUGCCGCGUGAGUGAAGAAGGCCUUCGAGUUGUAAAGCUCUUUCAGACGGAAAGAAAUUGCCAGAGUGAAUAUCCCGGGUAGAUGACGGUACCGUAAGAAGAAGCACCGGCUAACUACGUGCCAGCCGCCGCAGUAAGAC